UACGGAGGGUGCAAGCGUUAUCCGGAUUCACUGGGUUUAAAGGGUGCGUAGGCGGGCAGGUAAGUCAGUGGUGAAAUCCCCGAGCUUAACUUGGGAACUGCCGUUGAUACUAUCUGUCUUGAAUACUGUGGAGGUAAGCGGAAUAUGUCAUGUAGCGGUGAAAUGCUUAGAUAUGACAUAGAACACCUAUUGCGAAGGCAGCUUGCUACACAGUUAUUGACGCUGAGGCACGAAAGUGUGGGGAUCAAACAGG
rnacentral:rRNA from 1 species